rnacentral:rRNA from 1 species
UACAGAGGGUGCAAGCGUUGUUCGGAAUUAUUGGGCGUAAAGGGAGUGUAGGCGGCCAUUUAAGUCUUCUGUGAAAUCUACGGGCUCAGCCUGUAACGUGCAGAGGAAACUGGAAGGCUUGAGUGUCGGAGAGGAUAGUGGAAUUCCCGGUGUAGAGGUGAAAUUCGUAGAGAUUGGGAGGAACACCAGUGGCGAAGGCGACUAUCUGGCUGACAACUGACGCUGA